rnacentral:rRNA from 1 species
UACGAAGGGGGCAAGCGUUGUUCGGAAUUACUGGGCGUAAAGGGCGCGCAGGCGGCCGAUCAAGUCAGAUGUGAAAGCCCCGGGCUCAACCUGGGAAUAGCAUUUGGGACUGGUCGGCUAGAGUUCGGGAGAGGAGAGUGGAAUUCCCAGUGUAGAGGUGAAAUUCGUAGAUAUUAGGGAAGAACACCGGUGGCGAAGGCGGCCAUCUGGCUCGGUACUGACGCUCAGGUUCGAAAGCGUGGGGAGCAAACAGG